rfam:Vibrio sp. JCM 19236 DNA, contig00040.
CAUUGAACGGAAUCGAUAGUAACUAGGAUGGUUACUAACAAGGAAGACAAUGGACACCUCAGGACGAGGCAGGGACUGAACAUCAGGAAGAUGUAAAGGACACCGCUCAAGGAACAAGUGAAGCGCGCUAACGAGGAUUGUUGGCAGACCAGGAUAGGGUCAAGGACACCGCUAGGAAGGCGAGCAAAGGAAUAAGCUGAAGGAUUACAGCACACUAUCAAGGAUUUGAUGCAGGGAGCACUUAUUAGUAGCCGGAUUGCUGCGAGUAAGACUAUAACCCCGAUGAGCUCACGCUCUCGGGGUUUUUCUUUUUUAG